GUGUCAGCCGCCGCGGUAAUACGGAUGGGGCAAACGUUGUUCGGAAUUACUGGGCGUAAAGAGUGCGUAGGCGGUUCGGUUAGUCUGGUGUGAAAUAUCCUCGCUCAACGAGGAAACUGCACUGGAAACUGCCGAGCUCGAGGAUGGGAGAGGCAGGUGGAAUUCCUGGUGUAGCGGUGGAAUGCGUAGAUAUCAGGAAGAACACUCGUGGCGAAGGCGGCCUGCUGGCCCAUUUCUGACGCUGAGGCACGAAAGCCAGGGGAGCGAACGGGAUUAGAUACCCCGGUAGUCCUGGCCGUAAACGGUGAACACUGGGUGUCGGGGGUAUCGACCCCCUCGGCGCCGGAGCUAACGCGUUAAGUGUUCCGCCUGGGGAGUACGGCCGCAAGGUUGAAACUUAAAGGAAUUGGCGGGG
rnacentral:rRNA from 1 species